rnacentral:rRNA from 1 species
UUAAUUGAAGAGUUUGAUCAUGGCUCAGAUUGAACGCUGGCGGCAGGCUUAACACAUGCAAGUCGAGCGGUAGCACAGGGGAGCUUGCUCCCCGGGUGACGAGCGGCGGACGGGUGAGUAAUGUCUGGGAAACUGCCUGAUGGAGGGGGAUAACUACUGGAAACGGUAGCUAAUACCGCAUAACGUCGCAAGACCAAAGAGGGGGACCUUCGGGCCUCUUGCCAUCAGAUGUGCCCAGAUGGGAUUAGCUAGUAGGUGGGGUAAUGGCUCACCUAGGCGACGAUCCCUAGCUGGUCUGAGAGGAUGACCAGCCACACUGGAACUGAGACACGGUCCAGACUCCUACGGGAGGCAGCAGUGGGGAAUAUUGCACAAUGGGCGCAAGCCUGAUGCAGCCAUGCCGCGUGUGUGAAGAAGGCCUUCGGGUUGUAAAGCACUUUCAGCGAGGAGGAAGGUGGUGAGCUUAAUACG